CUUUACUACUGCUGCGGAAAAGAGGACAACACUCCACAUUUCUGGCAUUGUAAAUGACAACACCGCAACUGAAAGCAAGCUUGAAUUUCUGGGAGUAGCAUUAGGAUACAGGACCCCUGCUGAGCUCACCAGUUCCUUGCUCUACACAGCUGCUUUCUCAGCUGGGGUUUUGAAAUAAGCACUGUGAGAAAAGACAGAAAUGACCAUGAUGCAUCUUUCUCACUAUGAGAAAAAGGUACCAUGUGAAGGCCUGGGCAUAUAACAUGAAACAAGAAAGAUAAGGCCCGUGCUUACAUAGAACUUGGUGAAGAAUCUAGACCAUAACAAGCACACAGAGAAAACGUAUCACAAAUUGUGCUAAAGUUCUGUAAAGGGAUUAAGAUGAAGUGUCACAAGACUGAAUUAGACAGAGUGCCCUUGAAAGAGUGCCAAUUUUUAGAAUGGAGGGUGUAGAUCCAUCCUUUGCAACUGGUGAGGACCUCCUCAGUAAGGCACUGAGCCAGGAGUCUAUACAGCCAUGCCAGCAGGGAGCACUGUCUUUCAUUGUCUGAUGUUUAUUGCAAACCUGUUCUUUUCAGCUUUUUGUUGUUUCAGCCUAGUCCAAAGACGUUUACAUCCUGGAAGAGAACUUGCUGGCUUUUCACCUCAGCAUGUAUGGGCCAAACUAAUAUAACAAGAAGUCUUGAGAGGAGUCAGCGGCCAAGCUCCAUGUCUUGCAGCCAAACAAUGCUGUGGGAUGGAAGGUGGGAUGUCAUGUGUCUGGUUUACAGCACUCACGUAUCAGUUGGCAGUUAACGGAAGUGCUACUGAUUGGUGAUAUGCCUACUCCCCCUUCACCUUCGAUCAUGAUUGUAAACUUCGUGAGGACAUCACCAAAGGCUGACAUUGGCAACAUGCUUCCUGUACAAUCUGCAGAACAACGAUGGAACAAAAUAAACACCUUUUCUUUAUAAAUUACCCGGCUUCAUGUAUUCCUUCAUAACAAUGCAAAGCAGCCUAAUACAAAUUGUCAGUGAGUAGGCAGAUUUUCAGAAUGUAUGGCUAAUUGGAAUUUCCAUGGUCCUAUAUGAGAAGAGAUUUGAAGUAAUUCCAUAGAAUGUUAUGAGCGCCCUGGGAGAAGAAAAAGGGUGAUUUUUCAGAAGGAAAAGAGUGUAAGAAAAACAUGAAAUUCAAUUUUCCAAUGACAGUUCUG
rnacentral:lncRNA from 1 species